rnacentral:rRNA from 1 species
UGGGGAAUUUUGGACAAUGGGCGAAAGCCUGAUCCAGCAAUGCCGCGUGUGUGAAGAAGGCCUUCGGGUUGUAAGCACUUUUGUCCGGAAAGAAAUCCUUGGCUCUAAUACAGUCGGGGGAUGACGGUACCGGAAGAAUAAGCACCGGCUAACUACGUGCCAGCAGCCGCGGUAAUACGUAGGGUGCAAGCGUUAAUCGGAAUUACUGGGCGUAAAGCGUGCGCAGGCGGUUUGCUAAGACCGAUGUGAAAUCCCCGGGCUCAACCUGGGAACUGCAUUGGUGACUGGCAGGGCUAGAGUAUGGCAGAGGGGGGUAGAAUUCCACGUGUAGCAGUGAAAUGCGUAGAGAUGUGGAGGAAUACCGAUGGCGAAGGCAGCCCCCUGGGCCAAUACUGACGCUCAUGCACGAAAGCGUGGGGGAGCAAACAGGAUUAGAUACCCUGGUAGUCCACGCCCUAAACGAUGUCAACUAGUUGUUGGGGAUUCAUUUCCUUAGUAACGUAGCUAACGCGUGAAGUUGACCGCCUGGGGAGUACGGUCGCAAGAUUAAAACUUAAAUGAAUUGACGGGGUCAUAGCUGUUUCCU